UACGUAGGGGGCAAGCGUUGUCCGGAUUUAUUGGGCGUAAAGAGCGUGUAGGCGGCCAUACAGGUCAGCUGUGAAAACUCGAGGCUCAACCUCGAGACGUCGGUUGAAACCGUAUGGCUAGAGUCCGGAAGAGGAGAGUGGAAUUCCCGGUGUAGCGGUGAAAUGCGCAGAUAUCGGGAAGAACACCCGUGGCGAAGGCGGCUCUCUGGGACGGUACUGACGCUGAGGUGCGAAAGCGUGGGGAGCAAACAGG
rnacentral:rRNA from 1 species